GUGAAAAUCGACGAAUAAGUGUGAUAAAGCAUGUUUAUAAAAUAUUUUAGAAAAAGUCAACUAUGAAUUUCUGUCUCAUUGUCAGUGAAGUGCAAGUGUAUUUAACGGCAAUAGAAAUUGUUACAUUAAGAAGCUUAGGAAAUCUUAUCUACAAAUUACGUAUUGUUGAUAUAAAAGUCGAUUGAUGGAACUUCCAAAAUAUUUUUCUCGUGAAUAGAAAAGAGAAACGCUUGCCGUAGGUAAAGAUAAAACGAACCAAAUGGCGGUCUAUGCACCUCCCGUGAUAAUCAAAUCAAAAUAUUCGUAGGAAUCUUGGAAUUUGUUCUUGUUAUAUCGCGCAAGACAUCUGCACUCCAUCCCGCGCUGCUUGACAGCCAACGGUCUACGUAUGGUAUAUAUAUAUCGGUAUAUAUUCAUACCUUGCCGGCCUUCCGAACUCUCAAUAAGCCCAAGGACCUACCAUAAACUUUUUUUUUAUUUGUUAGAAUAUUUACAAUCAAUUCUCGUUGAGAAUUUUCAGUAACUUCAUUUGGCGUGGUACAAUGACAUGGUUUAUAAUAAUUUAUAUUGUUGA